rnacentral:misc_RNA from 1 species
AACGCACAUUGCACUCCUUGGUAUUCCGAGGAGUAUGCCUGUUUCAGUAUCAUGAGCACUCUCACAACUAACCUUUGGGUGAAAUUGUGGAAUUGGAAUGCGCUGAUUUUAAUAACCAGCCCUUCUAAAAUAUAUUUCAUGACUGUCACCUAACAUAGCAGUUUGGCCUAAUAGUUUUGACAUUGAUUUGUCAAAUCUUUGGCUUACAUUUGCUUCAGGUUGUCAGUUUUGAUAAUACAGAAAACUCAUUCAAAUUUUGAUCUGAAAUCAGGUAGGGCUACCCGCUGAACUUAA